rnacentral:antisense_RNA from 1 species
GCUAGAUGUGGAAACAGCAAGAGAACUAGAAUUGGAAGUAAAGCGUUGAAGAUGUGACUGAAUUGCUGCAAUCUCAUGAUCAAAUUUGAAUGGAUGAGGAGUUGCUUCUUAGGGAUAAGCUAAGAAAGUGGUUUCUUGAGAUGGAAUCUACUGGUGAAGUUGCUAUGAACAUUGUUAAAAUGACAAAGAUUUAGGAAUUACAGAAACCUGGUUGAUAAAGCAGUGCAAGGGUGUGAGAGAGUUGACUUCAAUUUUGAAAUAAGUUCCACUGGCUGAGUGUGGUGGCUCACACCUGCAAUCCCAGUACUUUGAGAGGCCGAGGCUGAUAGAUCACUUGAGGUCAGGAGUUCAAGACCAGCCUGGCCAACAUGGUGAAACCCCACCUCUACCAAAUUAGCCAGGUUGCUCCUUGAGGGCAGGACAGUUCUUAUGGCUUUAUCUGUUGCUUAAGCACAGAGAGAGGUCUGUGAGGUCAAAACUGUUGUCAUGAUAGCAAGAUGCUUGUCUUUUUCAUUUAUUCUCACAGUGUGCAGAGGCUACAUGAUUUGUGAUGACAUCCUCAUUGUUGUUAAUGAAUGGUGCUAUACUUGAAUUUUCUAAGGUGUCGUUAGGUAGGUUUAGCAAUUCUCCUGCCUCAGCCUCCUGUGUAACUGGGACUACAGGGAAGCACCAUUUUCCACAAAACUCUCAAGAAGGACUUGUUGCAACUGGAAAAGCAAUUAAAUGUGAAUCGUGAUCCAGGAGAAAAUAACAACCCACAUAACUCCCAAAUUAAAAGUUUUCCAAAGAUA